GACGAACGCUGGCGGCGUGCUUAACACAUGCAAGUCGAACGGAAAGGCCCUGCUUUUGUGGGGUGCUCGAGUGGCGAACGGGUGAGUAACACGUGAGUAACCUGCCCUUGACUUUGGGAUAACUUCAGGAAACUGGGGCUAAUACCGGAUAGGAGCUCCUGCUGCAUGGUGGGGGUUGGAAAGUUUCGGCGGUUGGGGAUGGACGCGCGGCUUAUCAGCUUGUUGGUGGGGUAGUGGCUUACCAAGGCUUUGACGGGUAGCCGGCCUGAGUGGGUGACCGGCCAAAUGGGGACGGGGUUACGGCCCGGACUCCUACGGGAGGCAGCAGGGGGGAAUAUUGCACAAUGGGCGGAAGCCUGAUGCAGCAACGCCGCGUGCGGGAUGACGGCCUUCGGUUUGUAAACCGCUUUCGCCUGUGACGAAGCGUGAGUGACGGUAAUGGGUAAAGAAGCACCGGCUAACUACGUG
rnacentral:rRNA from 1 species